CCUACGGGGGGCUGCAGUGGGGAAUAUUGGACAAUGGGGGAACCCUGAUCCAGCCAUGCCGCGUGUGUGAAGAAGGCCCUCGGGUUGUAAAGCACUUUCAGUGAGGAAGAACGCCUGGUGGUUAAUACCCAUCAGGAAAGACAUCACUCACAGAAGAAGCACCGGCUAACUCCGUGCCAGCAGCCGCGGUAAUACGGAGGGUGCGAGCGUUAAUCGGAAUUACUGGGCGUAAAGCGCGCGUAGGUGGCUUGAUAAGCCGGUUGUGAAAGCCCCGGGCUCAACCUGGGAACGGCAUCCGGAACUGUCAAGCUAGAGUGCAGGAGAGGAAGGUAGAAUUCCCGGUGUAGCGGUGAAAUGCGUAGAGAUCGGGAGGAAUACCAGUGGCGAAGGCGGCCUUCUGGACUGACACUGACACUGAGGUGCGAAAGCGUGGGUAGCAGACAGGAUUAGAUACCCCUGUAGUC
rnacentral:rRNA from 1 species